rnacentral:rRNA from 1 species
AUUGAACGCUGGCGGCAUGCCUUACACAUGCAAGUCGAACGGCAGCACGGGUGCUUGCACCUGGUGGCGAGUGGCGAACGGGUGAGUAAUACAUCGGAACAUGUCCUGUAGUGGGGGAUAGCCCGGCGAAAGCCGGAUUAAUACCGCAUACGAUCUACGGAUGAAAGCGGGGGACCUUCGGGCCUCGCGCUAUAGGGUUGGCCGAUGGCUGAUUAGCUAGUUGGUGGGGUAAAGGCCUACCAAGGCGACGAUCAGUAGCUGGUCUGAGAGGACGACCAGCAACACGGGGAAGGAGAAACGGCAAAGACUCCUAAGGGAGGCAGAAGGGGGGAAUUUUGAAAAAGGGGAGAAAGAAUGAACGAGAAAGGCCGCGUGAGGGAAGAAGGCUUGCGGUUAGUAAAGAAUUUUUGUGAGGAAAGAAAGCUUGGGCCCAAAAAGGGGCGGGGAGUGACGGUACAGAAAAAAAAAGCCCCGGAUAACUACGUG